AUGGCCAUGGCCGGGUCGAGGAGGGUCUCCGUGUGGAUGUCCUAUUGGGGACUUUUGAUGGUUUCCUGCAGAACUUCAAUCUCCAGUCCGACAGUUUUAGAGCCUAUCUACUGGAAUUCCUGGAACUCCAGAUUUCUACCUGGACAAGGCCUGGUACUACACCCACAGAUAGGAGACAAAUUGGAUAUUAUUUGCCCAAAAGUGGACUCUAAAACUGUUGGCCAGUAUGAGUAUUAUAAAGUUUAUAUGGUUGAUAAAGACCAAGCAGACAGAUGCAUUAUUAAGACGAAGAAAAAAAAUCCCUGCUCAACUGUUCCCGACCACACCGAGAUGUGAAAUUUACCAUCAAGUUUCAAGAAUUCAGCAACAGCAUCUGGGGUUUAGAAUUUCAGAAGAACAAAGAUUAUUACAUCAUAUCUACAUCCAAUGGGUCUUUGGAAGGCCUGCAUAACCAAGAGGGAGGGGUGUGCAAGACAAGAGCCAUGAAGAUCAUCAUGAAAGUUGGACAAGGAAUCAUAUCAGGAUGCAUCGUCUUCAUCGUCAUCAUCAUCACCUUGGUGGUACUGCUGCUCAAGCACCGCAGGAGGCACUGCAAACACUCUCCACAGCAAAGUACCACAGCCAAGCGAGGUGGCAACAACUAUGGCUGGGAACCCAGUGAUGUUCUCAUACCGCUAAGGACUGCAGACAGUGUCUUCCGCCCACACUAUGAGAAGGUCAGCGGAGACUAUGGGGACCCAGUGUACAUCGUACAGGAGAUACCCACACAGAGUCCUGCCGACAUUUACCACAAGGGCUCUGCAACACCUCCCCAGACCCCUCACUCCACAUCCCGUAUCAUUAAGGGACACUCACCACUGAGCCCUGGCCCCAUCUUUUACACCAAGAUGAGAUUAAAUGGGUAUUAUGUACAGAAAUCUGCUUUCCUGGAAGCUUGGGUGGGUUUGCUGGGAAAAGCCUGGGAGGUGUGGUCCAGUGAGGAAGGUUCUGGCUGCGACCGCAGGUGGAGCAUAGUGGGGAAAGCAAGAAGGAAACAAUAUAUAGUGCUUGGGUUUGCUGAGAGGAAAGAGGAGAGUGGGAGACUACAGACUUUGGUGAGUGGUGGUGAGCUCACUAUCACAGCUAUGCAACUAGGAAUCAAAGGCCCUUUCCUGAAGUGGAACAAAGGGGCCUUUGUUAUAAAAGGACUAGCCAGAUUUCAGAUGGAAAGGACAGAUCUUUGGGGCAGGAUUAUUGAAGUACUGGCAAUAAAAAAAACACAGCCCUGGAUCUGCGGGAGAGUCUGUCUUUUUGGGAGAUGGUUUAAGCAGACUCAGCUUCUGUAUUACCACAUUUUAAUCACCACAGGGAAAAACCUUUUAGGACAACAGCAGAGAGCCAAAUCUGACCUCGAAUUUGAAAAUACAAAGGUCAAACAGGCUGUAAGUCCAUCACCACUGAGGAUAUAG